rnacentral:sRNA from 1 species
CCCACUUGAUUACGAUAACAGUGAGAAGCAGGCAGUAGGAUGGAGCUGGCAACGCAGCAAGAGGCCCAGAGAAUAACCAAUAUGCGUAAAUGAAUAACUCUAUCAUAUGAUACUGAAGGACCCGCAAUGUAUCACAUCCUUGC